rnacentral:rRNA from 1 species
CAGUAGCCGCGGGAAUACGGAGGGGGCUAGCGUUGUUCGGAAUUACUGGGCGUAAGGCGCACGUAGGCUGCUUUGUAAGUCAGAGGUGAAAGCCCGGGGCUCAACCCCGGAUGUGCCUUUGAGACUGCAGGGCUAGAACGUCGGAGAGGUGAGUGGAAUUCCGAGUGUAGAGGUGAAAUUCGUAGAUAUUCGGAAGAACACCAGUGGCGAAGGCGGCUCACUGGACGACUGUUGACGCUGAGGUGCGAAAGCGUGGGGAGCAAACAGGAUUAGAUACCCCUGUAGUCCCUGUCUCUUAUAA